GCUAGCUACAGGCUUAACACAUGCAAGUCGAGGGGCAUCAGGAAGAAAGCUUGCUUUCUUUGCUGGCGACCGGCGCACGGGUGAGUAACACGUAUCCAACCUGCCCUUUACUCGGGGAUAGCCUUUCGAAAGAAAGAUUAAUACCCGAUAGCAUAAUGAUUCCGCAUGGUUUCAUUAUUAAAGGAUUCCGGUAAAGGAUGGGGAUGCGUUCCAUUAGGUUGUUGGUGAGGUAACGGCUCACCAAGCCUUCGAUGGAUAGGGGUUCUGAGAGGAAGGUCCCCCACAUUGGAACUGAGACACGGUCCAAACUCCUACGGGAGGCAGCAGUGAGGAAUAUUGGUCAAUGGGCGCGAGCCUGAACCAGCCAAGUAGCGUGAAGGAUGACUGCCCUAUGGGUUGUAAACUUCUUUUAUAUUAGAAUAAAGUGCAGUAUGUAUACUGUUUUGUAUGUAUAAUAUGAAUAAGGAUCGGCUAACUCCGUGCCAGCAGCCGCGGUAAUACGGAGGAUCCGAGCGUUAUCCGGAUUUAUUGGGUUUAAAGGGAGCGUAGGUGGACUGGUAAGUCAGUUGUGAAAGUUUGCGGCUCAACCGUAAAAUUGCAGUUGAUACUGUCAGUCUUGAGUACAGUAGAGGUGGGCGGAAUUCGUGGUGUAGCGGUGAAAUGCUUAGAUAUCACGAAGAACUCCGAUUGCGAAGGCAGCUCACUGGACUGCAACUGACACUGAUGCUCGAAAGUGUGGGUAUCAAACAGGAUUAGAUACCCUGGUAGUCCACACAGUAAACGAUGAAUACUCGCUGUUUGCGAUAUACAGUAAGCGGCCAAGCGAAAGCAUUAAGUAUUCCACCUGGGGAGUACGCCGGCAACGGUGAAACUCAAAGGAAUUGACGGGGGCCCGCACAAGCGGAGGAACAUGUGGUUUAAUUCGAUGAUACGCGAGGAACCUUACCCGGGCUUAAAUUGCAGUGGAAUGAUGUGGAAACAUGUCAGUGAGCAAUCACCGCUGUGAAGGUGCUGCAUGGUUGUCGUCAGCUCGUGCCGUGAGGUGUCGGCUUAAGUGCCAUAACGAGCGCAACCCUUAUCUUUAGUUACUAACAGGUCAUGCUGAGGACUCUAGAGAGACUGCCGUCGUAAGAUGUGAGGAAGGUGGGGAUGACGUCAAAUCAGCACGGCCCUUACGUCCGGGGCUACACACGUGUUACAAUGGGGGGUACAGAAGGCAGCUACCUGGUGACAGGAUGCUAAUCCCAAAAGCCUCUCUCAGUUCGGAUCGAAGUCUGCAACCCGACUUCGUGAAGCUGGAUUCGCUAGUAAUCGCGCAUCAGCCACGGCGCGGUGAAUACGUUCCCGGGCCUUGUACACACCGCCC
rnacentral:rRNA from 1 species